rnacentral:rRNA from 1 species
ACGAACGCUGGCGGCAUGCCUAACACCUGCAAGUCGAACGAUCCCUUCGGGGAUAGUGGCGCACGGGUGCGUAACGCGUGGGAACCUGCCCUUAGGUUCGGAAUAACUCAGAGAAAUUUGAGCUAAUACCGGAUAAUGUCUUCGGACCAAAGAUUUAUCGCCUUUGGAUGGGCCCGCGUUGGAUUAGCUAGUUGGUGGGGUAAAGGCCUACCAAGGCGACGAUCCAUAGCUGGUCUGAGAGGAUGAUCAGCCACACUGGGACUGAGACACGGCCCAGACUCCUACGGGAGGCAGCAGUGGGGAAUAUUGGACAAUGGGCGAAAGCCUGAUCCAGCAAUGCCGCGUGAGUGAUGAAGGCCUUAGGGUUGUAAAGCUCUUUUACCCGGGAUGAUAAUGACAGUACCGGGAGAAUAAGCCCCGGCUAACUCCGUG